UGGCACACACCGAACUGCAAGCUAUAAAGGGACCCAGAUAGGCCUCUUACUGCAGAAACCCAUCUUCUCAAAACCGGAAAAGAUGUUCGUGUAUUUGCUGUUUACUCUUAUGUUAAUGACAGAUAAUGUUUCAGCGAGAUCUG